AGAGUUUGAUCCUGGCUCAGAAUCAACGCUGGCGGCGUGCCUAACACAUGCAAGUCGAACGAGAAAGUGGAGCAAUCCAUGAGUAAAGUGGCGACCGGGUGAGUAACACGUGACUAACCUACCCUCGAGUGUGGAAUAACAUCGGGAAACCGAUGCUAAUACCGCAUAAUAUCGCAAGAUCAAAGCAGCAAUGCGCUUGAGGAGGGGGUCGCGGCUGAUUAGCUAGUUGGCGGGGUAACGGCCCACCAAGGCGAAGAUCGGUAGCCGGCCUGAGAGGGCGCACGGCCACACUGGAACUGAAACACGGUCCAGACUCCUACGGGAGGCAGCAGUGGGGAAUUUUGCGCAAUGGGGGAAACCCUGACGCAGCAACGCCGCGUGGAGGAUGAAGCCCCUUGGGGUGUAAACUCCUUUCGACCAAGACGAUAAUGACGGUACUG
rnacentral:rRNA from 1 species